AACGAACGCUGGCGGCAUGCCUAACACAUGCAAGUCGAACGAGACCUUCGGGUCUAGUGGCGCACGGGUGCGUAACGCGUGGGAACCUGCCCUUAGGUUCGGAAUAACUCCCCGAAAGGGGUGCUAAUACCGGAUAAUGUCUUCGGACCAAAGAUUUAUCGCCUUUGGAUGGGCCCGCGUUGGAUUAGCUAGUUGGUAGGGUAAAAGCCUACCAAGGCGACGAUCCAUAGCUGGUCGGAGAGGAUGAUCAGCCACACUGGGACUGAGACACGGCCCAGACUCCUACGGGAGGCAGCAGUGGGGAAUAUUGGACAAUGGGCGAAAGCCUGAUCAAGCAAUGCCGCGUGAGUGAUGAAGGCCUUAGGGUUGUAAAGCUCUUUUACCCGGGAUGAUAAUGACAGUACCGGGAGAAUAAGCUCCGGCUAACUCCGUG
rnacentral:rRNA from 1 species